ACUUUCACAUAAAGUGGUUCAUACCGUGAUUAAUUAUUCACGGAUAAACAAUAUCAAACCUCAAUAAGAUCAUCCAAUCACAACCCAACAACACACAAUCAUACAUCAAUGCACAAAAUAAAAAAAAAUGAAAACAGGGAGUCAAAAUUGGACCUCAAAUAUCAAUUUUAAUAUGUCGGAGAUAACACUGAGCUCGGAAAAACUCAAAUCCAAACUCAUAACAAUCCAAUUCCAACAGAAAAAUCUCAAAAUCCAAUCCGAACAAGACUUCACAAAGAACAAACGAAACCUGAAAUUGAAAUCAAAGCUUGAAAGGGAAAAACAGACCCCUGUAUGACAGUUUCCGAUGAGACUCAACUAGAGUAAACCUAAAAUAACCAAUUCAGACGAUCUAGUGCCCGGAAUUAAUGUUUUCUAGCGAUAUUUACACUAAAAAUGAGAGAUGGAAGCUGUUUGAUGUGGGUUUGGCCAAAAUACGGUUGAUGUGGUCAUUUCCCGGCGAGUCUUGAUGGAACAGUGACUAAACCGUGGUUUUUCAAUCAAAUUCUAGUGAGAAACCCAUCGAAAUAGUCAACUUCCACCUAUUCUUUCCCUCUCCCAUGCUCUCACUCUUAAUUUCUCAUUCUUUUUUCCCUAAUUUCUGGUGCAGGUGCGUCGUAUAGCGAUAUGUAUGCAUGAAUAGUGUAUUGUAAAUUAAGGACGAGUAGGGGUUGUGUUCAUGGUGAGCAUGUGAUCUGUGAGUGCAGGUGAAUUAUGUAUAAGAAAAUGAAAAUGGAGAUGGAUGAGAGUGUAUUUUGUGAGCUGAUAGCGUAUUCUCUUGAAAAAAUGAAAAAAAAACCUGAAUAUAGUGUAUUCCUUCUCUAUAUAUGUAAUACACUACAGUGUGAUAGUGUGUUUUCAAGUGGGUCCCACUCCUUUUGUUUUGUGUGUGGUUCUUAUUCUGUUACGGUUUGUUACCAAAAGAAGAAAAAUAUGAAGGGAGGUACAUGGGGAAGGGUAGUGAGGUGGGGUAAGGGUAGGGGUGUGAUGUAUUAAAUUUUGGUUGGGUGUGGGUAUGUUGUUUGAGAUAAAGUUUGUUAGGAUAGGGAAUAUUAGGGAUUUAUUUUGUUAGGGGUUUAUUGAAAUUUUGUUAUUUUUGUAUUUUUAUGGGGUAUAAUCACAUGGGUAAUGAUGCGUGGUAAAUUGAACUUCGGGAGGGACAAAAUUAGGUGUCUACAGCAUGCCCCUUUGAAUGUAAACACGAAGUGUUUUCAGGCAAAGAAGUAGACAACGAGACAAAAUUUUGUCUCGACCAUUAUUCAAAAAGAAUGAAAUAAAAGGAAUGAAGGAAACCAAGUCUUAAUUUUGGACAUCAUAUUCAUCCCUAGUUAUGAUUGAAUCAAGUCACAGGUAUCUCAAAGAGUCGGAAAAAAAGGGACUAUACCGAGUUAGAGAGUCGAGUGAGGCCCUGUCGAGGUUCCGAUCCGCAGCUCUAUUAUUACAUCAAAAAUAAAAAUUAUAAGUUAAAAACAUAAAUGAAAUUAAAAAAAUCCUAUCAGUCCGGCUUUUUUUGGACUCUUGAUUUGAGCUUCAUCACCCUAUUCUUCAGGCGGACUCCUGGCUUGCAAUUUCUUCAAUAUGAUGAAUUUCAAUUGUUUCACCUUGUUGCUUGACAUUUAACCUUUAACCUUGUUGCUUGACUUCCAAUAUCUUCACCUUGUUGCUUGACUUUUAAUUUUUUCACCCUGUUCUUCAGGCGGGUUCCUGACUUUCUAUUUCAUCGCCCUGUUCUUCAGAAGGGCUCCUGACUUGCAAUUUUAUCACCUUGUUCUUCAGGCGGGCUUUUAACUUGCAAUUUCAUCACUCUUUUCUCUAGGCGAGCUCCCGACUUUCAAUUUCAUCACCCUGUUCUUCCAGCGGGCUCCUGACUUGCUAUUUCAUCACUCUGUUCUUCGGGCGAGCUCCCGGCUUUUAAUUUUACUACCCCAUUCUUCAGGUGGGCUCCUAACUUCAAAUUUCCUCACCCUGUUCUUCAGGGGGGCUACUGACUUUCAAUUUAUCAACCUGUUCUUCACGCGAGCUCCCGACUUUCAAUUCAUCACCCUGUUCUUCAAGCGGGCUCCUGACUUGCUAUUUCAUCACUCUGUUCUUCGGGAAAGCUUCCAACUUUUAAUUUCAUCGCCCUGUUCUUCAGGUGAGCUCAUGAAAUCAAAAUCAAAACUAGUACAAAAAUUAUCCCAAAAAAAAGAUUAUGAUAAAGAAAGAUUCAUUUUUCUGAAAGUAAUGACCUAUUUUCCAAGAGGGUCAUGAACAUAAAGUAAGUUCUCAUUUUUCAGGAAGGUCCUGAACAUAAAGUAAACUCCCAUUUUUUAGAAGGGUGUGGGGUCCUGAACAUAAAGUAAAGUCUCAUUUUCCAGGAGGGUCCUGAUCAGGAAGUAAAAUCCCAUUUUCCUGGAGGGUCCUAAUCAUGAAGUAAAUUCUCAUUUUCCAGGAGGAUCCUGAACAUGAAGCAAAUUCUCAUUUUUCAGAAGGGCCCUGAACAUGAAGCAAAUUUCCAUUUUUUAGGAGGGCCCUGAACAUGAAGUAAAUUCCCAUUUUCCAGGAGGGCCCUGAACAUGAAGUAAAUUCUCAUUUUUCAGGAGGGUCCUGAACAUGAAGUAAAUUCCCAUUUUUUAGGAGGGUCCUGAACAUUAAGUAAAUUCUCAUUUUUCAGGAGAGGCCUGAACAUGUAGUAAAUUCCCAUUUUUUUCAAAAGGGUCCUGAAUAUAAAGUAAAUUCCUAUUUUCCAAAAAGGUCCUGAACAUAAAGUAAAUUCCCAUUUUUCUGAAGGGUCCUAAACAUAGAGUAAAUUUCCAUUUUUCAGGAGGGUCCUGAAUAUAAAGUAAAUUCUCAUUUUUCAGGAGGGUCCUGAACAUAACAUAAAUUCUCAUUUUUUUGAAGGGUCCUGAACAUAAAGUAAAUUCCAUUUUCUAGGAAGGUCCUGAACAUAAAGUAAACUCCCAUUUACUAGGAGGGCCCUGAAUAUAAAAUAAAUUCUCAUUUUUCAGGAGAGUCCUAAACAUGAAGUAAAUUCCCAUUUUCUAGGAGGGUCCUAAACAUGAAGUUCCAUAUAAUAUGAAUCACUUUUAAUUUUUGCCCCAGUUUUCAUCAAAAGAUUUUUCGGGUGUCAAACUCAAUCACAACUAUUUGCAACAGUGAAUAAUGCAAAGAUGAAUCAAAAUUCUGAUCAACAAAUGCACCUAUUGAGAGUAAAAUUAAAUGAUUGAGACCAACAAGUCCCUCUCUUCAGAGUAAAAGUAAAAGGUCCUUACUAAAGUGCAUCACUUAGAAUUAAAGGCUCAAAUUAGGAAGUGCACCUCCUAGCCAUGAGACAUGAAAGACACAAACUAGAGAAUUUGUCUCUAAGGGGUACAAGAUGAUGAGGAUUACCAAACCUGUACAACGACACUGCAUUUGCAUUAGCAGAAAUAAGGAAUUGCACCUCUGGGUAUUUGUUCUUUGAAGCCCUUGAUUAGAAUAUCAUAAUUGUUCCUAUUUCAUACAAAGAAAACUUGUAAGUUUAAAAUAGGGUGGUUGGCUUGCGGCUUUGGCAUUUGAGGAGACUUCUCUUGCACUUGUCCCAUUUAGAUCUUGCUUCCAAUUAUUAGCAUUUGACAUUGCCUUGUUGCACCGUUGGUCCAAAAAUAGAAUAUUAAAAGUGACUCUAAAACAAACACAGUAUCUCUGCUUUGCUAUGUUUUUCAGAUAAUCCCCUUUAAACCUUGGUAUUUCCAUGAAUUCCCCAAAUUUGUGUAUUGACAAAAACCUUUUGCAAGGCUUGUUGCAAUCUUGUUUCUUUCAUGUGUUGGCCCCCUUGUCUUGCUUUGUGCAAUUGAAGAAGUUGGUAGCCAGUUUUGAAAAAUUUUCUUACUUAUUUUGACAUGGACUUGACUCAAAGACAAGAGAAAAAUGACAAAAAAAAUUUUAUUUGACUAACUGACUCAAGAAAAUAAAAUAAAAACACAGAGAAGAAAGAAAAGACGAUGAACGUCCCCAUUUGAAACAAAGAACGAAAAAUUUAUCUAAAAAUGAUAGUCAACUCUAAUGAUUAUGCCAUGCUUUUGGAUUAAUCUGCCCAAUCUUUCCAUCCACACUUCUGCCAGUUGUUGUUGAGUUAAUAGUCUUGAAACUGAGUUACUUUCCUGGGCUAAUUAUAUUCGGAGACCUCAUUCGUCUAGUGGCGCCUUGAAGGGUUUUCGCCAACAAGACUCUCUCAUUUUCUUUUUCUCAUAUCACUAUUGCCUUAGGGUAUCAGAGAGGGUUUUCACUAAUGAGACUCUCUUGUUUUUAUUUCUCUUAACUCAUAGUCGUCUUACAGUACCUAUGAGGAUUUUCACCGAUAAGACUCUCUCAUUUUUAUUUCUCUCUUGAUUCCCUAUGCUGAGGAAGACGAGCAGUUCCCAAAAUACGUCAUCAUAUCCAUUGCAUACUUAGCCUUAACAUUCUCAAAUAUUGAUCUGAAGGUCUUUCUUUGAUUGUAACUUGGCUUUUGGAUAGGGUUAGAAAGAAAGGAUAACAUGAGGCCCAAAUGACAGUUGAAGUGGGGUAGGACUUACAACUUUUGGAAUCGACUCAAACAAUGAGGAUUAACUCAUGCCCUAGUUUCUUUUGACUAGGCAAUUCUAAACUAUUUAUUUGGUUGGACCGAGCCCAGAGUAGGGCAGCAAACGUAUCUCACCCCCAAGAGAGGAGAAUCAGGUCACACGUAAUUCCGACAACUUAUUUUGCUUGAUUCUGAUUUAUUUUUCUCUUAUUAACUCUUUUUCUCUUUGAAAUUUUUUCUAACUCUAUUUUUCUUGACACUCUUCUCUAUUCUUUCUUUUUGGACACAAUUUUUCUCUUUUCUUUUUUUUUUUGAAACUGUUUUGACUCUAUUGUUUUGCUCGACACUUUUUUUUUGAGCUUUCCUGACUCUAUCUUGAUUCCAAAAGAGGGGUAUGAAGAGAAAUAGGACUAAAGCUCAAAUGGGGUAAACAAAGGAUGACACGAUGUUUGGAUAGCAGAAUAAAAUUCCUUCAUCCUAUCAAUCCUUGAAAAAUAUAAGUACAUAUCAUGCAAUAUGAAAUGAAAAAUGAAGAUCAUUUGUGACACUUUAACACUAACUUUAACUGAGCAUGUGCGCCACUCCCUCUUCUACACUUGUCAAACAUACAACUCCAUUUUUGUUAUACAUCCCUCACAUCGAAUGAUCCAUGCUUUUGUGGAGUUGAUUAUCUUCUUAUUUCUCUUGAUAUAGGGAUCAUGCAUCCACUAUUUAACCUAAUUGGGACAUGUCUUUCGAUUGAUCACCAAGUUAUUCUUGUGAUUCUAAAAAUAAUUUCCUUAAUAUUCAAAGGAGGUUUCAACUUGUCACCAAAUGUCUCAGCACUCUAUCUAUUUCUUAGAUUUUUUCCUAACUUUGGCCCUCUGAUUCAAUGUUUCAUAGUUGAAUUGAAUUUUAAGAUCUAGCUGAGAAUUCCGCAGGCAUGUCAUAGUACUAGAAUCAGCCUAAAAUGUAUUGUGUAAAAAAAAGACAAGCAAACAAUUUGAAAAAAGACACAACGACAAGGGAUGCCACAUUUGAUUGAAAGAAAAGAUAGAAGGGUUUAAACAAAAAUGACAGAGAAACAAAACAAGAUAGAUUCUAAACUACAAUCCUGAAAUAAUUCAGAAAAUAGAAAGCAAAAUAAAACAAACUACCAAUAAUCCUUCUGGGUAAGGAGAGGAGCGACUUUUAAUUGCUGAGCUUGACAUCUUAGCCACUGAAUUGCACAUCAUCGUGACUAGAGAUUUCACCGCUAUCAGACACAUUCCAUGUAAAAUUAUCAUUUGACUUCCUCCUUUUUGCAAUCUCCGAGCUCAGUUGAAACUUGAACUCAAAAGUUCCUUAGUAAAUGUGUGGGGUUUGAGGAUGAUGUUGAGGGACCGGUGCAUACUAUUAUGGAUAUGAAGGCGAAUGAGUAUAUCGUUGUGCAUUGUUCAAAGAAUACUGAGGAAUUGGAAUAGAAUAUCUUGGAUUUUGCGAAGAGAAACCUUGUUGCAGGUGAGCAUGUGAACUUGAUGUGUAAGCUCGGGAUUGAGAGUGAAAAUAUUGCUGAGUUGGACCUCUCAAGAUCUAUUUUUCCCAUGAAACGACAAUAGGUAUGUUUUUCUUCUUCUUUCCUUCAGUCCCCCCUCAACUGAUGACAAUAUCGUCCCAAGUAUUUUUCAAAAUCCUCGUACCCAUUAUGUUCCUCCAUUUUUGAUACCUCAAAGUUAGAAGGGCAGUUAACACUUGAAGACAUGCCCCAGUCUUUGUAUGUAACAUCUUCUUUACCCACAAGUCCUAAAGAACUUUUCAUAGCAUUUUCUGCAUUCUUCAUCUUUCCAACUAUUUUCUCUGACUCUUCUAGCACACUAGGCUUCUUGUUAAGAAAUUUUGGUGGAAGACUCAAGGUAUUUGUAGGAUCAAUAGCGGGACAUGGAGGAGGAGGCAGCCUACUAGCCCAAGCUCGAUACAUUUCCAUCAUUUGUUGUCUUAGUCUCAAAUUCUCUUUCUUUAAACUCUUGAUUUCUUGACUCUUUGUUUGAUCCAUGAGGUCACUCUCUAUAUCUUUGUUGGACAUAUUUAAACCUUUCUUAGAUUUGGUGUGAUGUGGAGGACCAGCUACAAUGCCUCAAAUCAACCACCUUAAACUAACUGAACAAGAGACAACAUAUGUGUUAGAGUGCAACAUUUUUUCAAAACUAUUUUUCUGUUUUUCUUUUGAAAAGAUCACCGAACCUAAGAAGGGCGCCUACGUAUCUCACUCCCGAGAGAGGAAAAUCAGGUAUGCAUAGUUCGUGAAGUUUGGCCACAAAAUGGGCCAAUAAAGCUCUCUUUCUUUUUCUUGAAACUUUAGAAGAAAAGGAAGUAGUAAAGCGUCAAAAGAAUUGACGAAAAUCUUUUUGCAUUUUUCAGGUUUAACAUCUCUAUAUAAAAUGAGAUAUAUGAUUACCGAAGAAAAACCUUUUUGGGUUUUCGAUUUUGAAUUUCAUAUGAAAAUGAAACUUGAACAUAUUAAAGGAAAAAUCUUUUUGUAGUUUUCUUUUAAAGAUGUAUAUGAAAUUCCUACACUAAAUGAAGAGUGAAGAAAAUCUUUUUGAAUAUUUUAAAUAAGAUCCCCGAACCAACAAUAGACUACCUACAUAUCUCACUCUCGAGAUAGGAGAAUCAGGGGUGCGUAGUUCAUCCAGAUUUGACAAUUAAGGAUUAAAUAACCAACUGGCCCUAACUUAAGAGACACAAAUAGCGUCAAAAAAUUCUUUUUUGGUUUUUAAUUAGACACUUCUCAUAAAACUGACACAACAACUAUGAAAGAAAAAAUCUUUUUGGUAUUUUCAUUUUAUGAAAGUACAAAACUUUUACCAUUUUUUUUUUAAUUUUCUGUUAUAAAAAGCUUCUAAAAAAAUCUUUUUGAAAAUUUUGAAUUAUGAAUGCAUGCUAAAGGAGAUAAAAGGAAAAUCUUUUUAAAGUUUUUGUUUUUGAGUAAAUGCGUGAAAAAAAGGUAAGGAAAUCUUUUUUGAAUUUUUGGAUUGUGAAAAAUAAAAGUCAUAAAGAACUCUAAAAACCACGAAACUCUCUUUUUUCACUCAUUUUUUCCUUUUUUUUUCAAUAAUUUCUUGCCUACACACUUUAUUUCUAACACAUGCUUUUGCCCAAAUCAGUCUGUCAAAUAACCUUGUUACCCUCGAAGAUGCAACAUUUAACAUGUAGAGAUGCUUUAGAGGUGAGUCUCCUACAAAGGACCAAGUGGGUCACGUUAGGUCUCAAUAUGAUGCAGAUAAAUAUGACCUAAAGACUGACCUACGUUGGGGUUCACUAACAAGGCUAUUCGGGGGAGUGUAUGGUCGAUAGUGCCUGCUUUGCUUUCCACCUACUCCAUACCAGCCGACGGCUCCCUAUCCUAAAAUAAGGGUGACUCAACUAUAGGUCAUGUACACAGCGUGUACUACAGAACUUAUUGCCUAAAUAAUUGACUCGGGUUAUGCAAAUAAUGUCAGAUAUAAAGCAGUAACACAUUAGAAAAAACUGUAAACAAAGAGCACGUAGGCACUCAAAAACAAUAACACAAACGACGUUUAUACACCCAUGAUGUCAAACUAAGCCGAUGCAACUCCAAAAAAUAAGCUCGAAUUCUAAAAAAUAACCAGUGGAGUCGUCAGAGCUGUCACACUCCUUUUUAACCAAAAGAUUAAUUUUAAGUUUGAAAGGGUUUUAUUAUUAAAGUGACAAAAAUGAAGAUGAAAGUUUCAAAAAGAAUUCGUUUUAUAAUUAACUCAGAGUCGCCACUUGGCAUAAAUCGGGUGUGCCAAGUCACCCUUGGAUAUCCUUUUUCAAAACGAUUUUGACUCUUUCAAAAUCUGAUUUACGAAUAGAGAUUCCGGCUAAAGAAUUCUGUUGACCGAGAGGAAGGUAUUAGACACCCCUCCAUCUAGUGGUUUGACCACGAUCGCUUGGUGGAGCAUAUCGGCUAAUUUGACACUACGAAUGUAUAAAUCACACAACACAUAAAACAAUCAAACACACAAAACAAAACCAAUCCACAAUAUAGUGUCCAAUUCAAUUAUAUAGUCCAAAGAUAGAAAAAAAAUGCGAAAAUAUAAAUCCUAUUCUAAGCUAAUCCUAAAACUACGCUCCAAUGCCUUAUCCGAUGCCUUGAGCCUUGAUCACGAGCUUCCUCUGCGUUCAUGAUACUUUGGGACAUUCCUCGAAUAAAUCAAUAUAAAUUUCUCGGGGCAUUCCCCGACAAAUGAGUACAAUUUCAAUUUUUGUGCCAUAAAAUAGAACGAAUCAUUCACACACAUAUUCAAGCACUCAACAAAUCGUAUUCCCAAAUUUGCCUACCCAACCUACCGUUUGCCUACCAAUUUCAUCCUAUCAUGAUAUUAUCACGUUUCAACAAUAUCCAUGCUCAUUAAACAAAAACGAUAAUAAAUCAAAGUUAUAUCAACUUCUCGAUUCCACCCCAAAUUUCCUUUUAUACAUCACUUUCACACAAAGUGGUUCAUACCGUGAUUAAUUAUUCACGACAAAACAAUAUCAAACCUCAACAAGAUCAUCAAUCACAACCCAAACAACAUACAAUCAUACACCAAUGCACCAAAUCGAAACAAAAAAUGAAAAGAGGGAGUCAGAAUUGAACCUCAAAUAUCAAUUUCAAUAUAUCAGAGAUAACACCGUACCCGAAAAACCUCAAAUCCGACCUCACAACGAUCUAAUUCCAACGGAAAAAUCUCAAAAUUCAAUCCGAACAAGACUUCAUGAAGAACAAAUGAAACCCGAAAUUGAAAUCGAAGCUUGAAAGGGAAAAACAAACCCCCUGUGUGAUAGUUUCCGACGAGAUUCAAUCGGAGUCAACCUAAAACAACCGAUUCAGACAAUCUGGUGGCCGGAAUUAAUGUUUUCUAGCGAGAUUUAAACUGAAAAAUGAGAGAUGGAAGCUGUUCGAUGUGGGUUUGGCCGAAAUACAAUUGAUGUGGUCAUUUUCUGGCGAGUCUUGACGGAAAAGUGGCUAAACCGUGGUUUUUCAGUCAAAUUCCGGCGAGAAACCCGCCGGAAUAGUCAACUUCCACCUAUUCUCUCCCUCUCCCGUGUUCUCACUCUUAAUUUCUCAUUCUGUUUUCCCCAAUUUUUGGUGUGUGUGCAUCGUAUAGCGAUAUGUGUGCAUGACCAGUGUAUCGUGAAUUAGAGAUGAGUGUGUGGGGUUGUGUUCAUGGUGAGUAUGUGAUCUGUGUGUGCGUGUGAAUUGUGUAUAAGAAAAUAGAGAUGGAGGAGAGUGUAUUUUGUGAGCUGAUGGUAAAAAAACCCUGAAUAUAGUGUAUUCCUUCUCUAUAUAUAUGAAAUUCCCUGGUGUGUGUGUGUUUUUAAGUGGGUCCC
rnacentral:lncRNA from 1 species